UAGCUGAGUCAGUAAAGAAUCUGCCUGCAAUGCAGGAGACCCAGGUUUGACUCCUGG
rfam:TPA: Bos taurus chromosome 1, whole genome shotgun sequence.